UACGUAGGAUGCAAGCGUUGUCCGGAAUACUGGGCGUAAAGCGCACGCAGGCGGUCUGCUAAGUUUGGAGUGACAGUUGGUGGCUUAACUGCCAAAGUGCUUCGAAAACUGACAGACUUGAGGGCUUCAGAGGGACACGGAAUUCCGGGUGGAGUGGUGAAAUGCGUAGAGAUCCGGAGGAACACCAAAGGCGAAGGCAGUGUCCUGGGGAGUACCUGACGCUCAGGUGCGGAAAGCCAGGGGAGCGAACGGG
rnacentral:rRNA from 1 species